AUAUAUUUAUUAGCUUAGCAAACUUUUACAGGUACAUCGGCUGUUGUAAAAAUUGUUGCCAUGUAUGAAGAAUCUUUGGUGAAUUUAUGUGGCCAUCUUGAACCUGUUGCGAAAUCUGCGAUUUCACAUGAAUUCAUACUAGAGUGACUGAAUUUCGCCAUCGAAAAUUCGUCAAACAACCGCACCUAAACUUUAGGCAUGUUUGAGAAAAUGAUGGAUUGUAGUCGUAAACUCUUGCCAGUAACUGCAUUUUUAACCUUCAAAUUACUGCGAAUUGGGGUCAGAUAGCUUACAUUAUGGCUUCCCUGGAGUCUUUACAAACAAGGUGUUGAGUCGUGACCAACCUUUUAUUUGUUCAGACAAAUCCUCUCCGAUCAUUUGAAUAAUUGUGAUGGUGUGGUGUUGACAACGAUUGAGGGCCGUGCCCUCUUGUGCCUGCUAAACUGGUAUCAGUUUGUUGAUUAAAUGCUGGCUCAGUUCAGCAGGAACAAGAGUGAAGCCCUAGCGCCACUGCCGCACUCUCCUCCAAUCAGAAUGCAGCGUGCUUUAUCCUCCAAUCAGCAUGCAGUGUCCACCACUCCGUCUGAUCAGCACAAAAUGUGCUUCUCUUUUUCUCAGCUACAUAAACAUCUGACAUCAGUGAAUAUAAAACAUGUUUUCAAGAGAACUGACCUUGGUGAAAUAUGAAUGGUUAACCAUUAGAGGUCAAGCAAUUGAGGAUAAUGAUUUUUUUGCAUACUUAUGAAAGCCAUAUCCAUGUUUUUAGUGCUGCUCUCAGCACAUGCAUGGCCAAGGGAACGCACAGUGUUAAGAUCUAAAGAUGUACGUUCAACUGGUUUUACCUCAUGCUUGAGAAACGCCUGCAGUGAGUCUCUCUGUGUUAAAGAUAGUUCAAAUGAAUUACGACAGGAGACUUAUUUUAGGUGGUGCUGUCAUAUUCAUUCAUGCAUAUAAAAAAUGGAAGACUUCAGGUUGAUCAUAAAUCUACCUCAGUCUGUUAACUUUCUGCUGGCUACCUUUGGCUUUUUCGUUUUUUUGCAAGAAAGAGGAAAGAUUACAGCUGGACAAAUUGAUUGGAUAUCACUUCUAUGUUCAUAUAUUAUUAUAAAAUAGUAUUUUCAUAGAUUUCAGCAUGCUGCUAUGAGAUUGCUAGGGUGUUCAUAAUAGUUUUUAACAUUUAACAUGCUUUUUAGAUUGGUGCCAUGUAGUUGCUAGAGCACAUUGCUAUGUAGAUGCUAGCAUGCAAAAAACUACUUAAUCAAAAAAAAUAUUAUAAUUAGUUAUAUCGCAUAUCUGAGGGACAGCUUCUGUACUGCAGGUCUCGCGGCCUGACUUGAACUGCUCUCCUCGCUCUGCAGCAUUGACAGCUACUUGGAAAGAUUUGUGCUGCUCAGAAACAAUUAUAGGCCAUAAAUGCAUCAGUGGGAAGGAGCUGCGGGGAUGAAAGCGGAAAGCCUCCUAUUUUAGUUUCACAGCGAUGUCGGAGUCCUUUUAUCAUGUGCUCAGAGACUGACCAGAUUUCGUGACGUGGCCUCCUUUAGUUAUUUGAUAUUGUUUUUGCUCCCUGCGCCACCAUGUAGUCAGUUUGUUUGCGGUCCAGACCAGAGCUGUGUGCUUUAUAAUUGGUUUAACUUGAACAAGACCAGCUGUGCAAUAAAGCAGCAAAGCCGCGUAAAGAAACCCACUGUACCGGGCGGUUUCUGGAUCACAAUCCAGAGCAUCUGUGCUGAAAGUAAGAGUUUGUCACAUAUUUAUUAAAAUACAUUUAAAGACAUGUUGACACCACAUGAAUGUCUCUGAGGUCCUCACGGCAUGCCACAGAUGAACUCUCUUCCAAUGUUUUCCUCUCCUCCAAUCAGCAUGCAGCAUGUUUUCCUCUCCUCCAAUCAGCAUGCAGCAUGUUUUCCUCUCCUCUAAUCAGCAUGCAGCAUGUUUUCCUCUCCUCCAAUCAGCAUACAGCAUGUUUGCCUCUCCUCCAAUCAGCAUGCAGCAUGUUUUCCUCUCCUCCAAUCAGCAUGCAGCAUGUUUUUCUCUCCUCCAAUCGGCAUGCAAACACUACCUUGUUUUCUCAGGCAACGACUGGGUUCAUCUUAUCCUCAGCGAUCUUCUAACCAGCUACAAAUGUGCAGAAACCAAUGAGCUGCAUUCAUCCGAGGACCCUCUGAGAACUUCCCCAUUAUCUGUCUGCAGAACACCUGGAGGCGACGCGCUGUCUGCACGCAACCGCAGUUAACCCUUCAUGCCCUCUAUAAAGAGAAGAACAUAAAUCCAUAUUUCCUUCAAGACAUCAUGCAGUCGUAAACUAAACUGUAAUCAUCUCGGGAACGAACGUGUUUGCGGUGCGUGACGGCUCUCUCUCAUAAGGCAAGCUCACACCACCAGUGAUAACUAUUUUAACAUCUGCAACUGACUAGUAAAGUAUUCCACAAAUUUCACAAAUAACUUAUGGACAUAAUUUGAAUAUAAGUCAAACCCUGAAGUGUGUUGCUGUUUGUGUCUCUUCUGAUGUCAUUCAUUGUUUUACCAAUGUAUCCACACAUAGAAGAUUCUUCCAGAUUUGUAAAUGUUCAUCCAAUCUCAUU